rnacentral:rRNA from 1 species
ACGUGGUAUCCUGUCUGAAUAUGGGGGGACCAUCCUCCAAGGCUAAAUACUCCUGACUGACCGAUAGUGAACCAGUACCGUGAGGGAAAGGCGAAAAGAACCCCGGCGAGGGGAGUGAAAAAGAACCUGAAACCGUGUACGUACAAGCAGUGGGAGCACAGGUUUACCUGUGUGACUGCGUACCUUUUGUAUAAUGGGUCAGCGACUUAUAUUCUGUAGCAAGGUUAACCGUAUAGGGGAGCCGCAGGGAAACCGAGUCUUAAUUGGGCGUUAAGUUGCAGGGUAUAGACCCGAAACCCGGUGAUCUAGCCAUGGGCAGGUUGAAGGUUGGGUAACACUAACUGGAGGACCGAACCGACUAAUGUUGAAAAAUUAGCGGAUGACCUGUGGCUGGGGGUGAAAGGCCAAUCAAACCGGGAGAUAGCUGGUUCUCCCCGAAAGCUAUUUAGGUAGCGCCUCGUGAAUUCAUCUCCGGGGGUAGAGCACUGUUUCGGCUAGGGGGCCAUCCCGGCUUACCAACCCGAUGCAAACUGCGAAUACCGGAGAAUGUUAUCACGGGAGACACACGGCGGGUGCUAACGUCCGUCGUGAAGAGGGAAACAACCCAGACCGCCAGCUAAGGUCCCAAAGUCAUGGUUAAGUGGGAAACGAUGUGGGAAGGCCCAGACAGCCAGGAUGUUGGCUUAGAAGCAGCCAUCAUUUAAAGAAAGCGUAAUAGCUCACUGGUCGAGUCGGCCUGCGCGGAAGAUGUAACGGGGCUAAACCAUGCACCGAAGCUGCGGCAGCGACGCUGAUGCGUUGUUGGGUAGGGGAGCGUUCUGUAAGCCUGCGAAGGUGGCCUGUGAGGGUUGCUGGAGGUAUCAGAAGUGCGAAUGCUGACAUAAGUAACGAUAAAGCGGGUGAAAAGCCCGCUCGCCGGAAGACCAAGGGUUCCUGUCCAACGUUAAUCGGGGCAGGGUGAGUCGACCCCUAAGGCGAGGCCGAAAGGCGUAGUCGAUGGGAAACGGGUUAAUAUUCCCGUACUUGGUGUUACUGCGAAGGGGGGACGGAGAAGGCUAUGUUGGCCGGGCGACGGUUGUCCCGGUUUAAGCGUGUAGGUGUGUGUUCCAGGUAAAUCCGGUUCACUUUAACACUGAGGUGUGAUGACGAGGCACUACGGUGCUGAAGCAACAAAUGCCCUGCUUCCAGGAAAAGCCUCUAAGCAUCAGGUAACAUCAAAUCGUACCCCAAACCGACACAGGUGGUCAGGUAGAGAAUACCAAGGCGCUUGAGAGAACUCGGGUGAAGGAACUAGGCAAAAUGGUGCCGUAACUUCGGGAGAAGGCACGCUGACACGUAGGUGAAGUGAUUUACUCAUGGAGCUGAAGUCAGUCGAAGAUACCAGCUGGCUGCAACUGUUUAUUAAAAACACAGCACUGUGCAAACACGAAAGUGGACGUAUACGGUGUGACGCCUGCCCGGUGCCGGAAGGUUAAUUGAUGGGGUCAGCGCAAGCGAAGCUCCUGAUCGAAGCCCCGGUAAACGGCGGCCGUAACUAUAACGGUCCUAAGGUAGCGAAAUUCCUUGUCGGGUAAGUUCCGACCUGCACGAAUGGCGUAAUGAUGGCCAGGCUGUCUCCACCCGAGACUCAGUGAAAUUGAACUCGCUGUGAAGAUGCAGUGUACCCGCGGCAAGACGGAAAGACCCCGUGAACCUUUACUAUAGCUUGACACUGAACAUUGAGCCUUGAUGUGUAGGAUAGGUGGGAGGCUUUGAAGUGUGGACGCCAGUCUGCAUGGAGCCGACCUUGAAAUACCACCCUUUAAUGUUUGAUGUUCUAACGUGGACCCGUUACCCGGGUUGCGGACAGUGUCUGGUGGGUAGUUUGACUGGGGCGGUCUCCUCCUAAAGAGUAACGGAGGAGCACGAAGGUUGGCUAAUCCUGGUCGGACAUCAGGAGGUUAGUGCAAUGGCAUAAGCCAGCUUGACUGCGAGCGUGACGGCGCGAGCAGGUGCGAAAGCAGGUCAUAGUGAUCCGGUGGUUCUGAAUGGAAGGGCCAUCGCUCAACGGAUAAAAGGUACUCCGGGGAUAACAGGCUGAUACCGCCCAAGAGUUCAUAUCGACGGCGGUGUUUGGCACCUCGAUGUCGGCUCAUCACAUCCUGGGGCUGAAGUAGGUCCCAAGGGUAUGGCUGUUCGCCAUUUAAAGUGGUACGCGAGCUGGGUUUAGAACGUCGUGAGACAGUUCGGUCCCUAUCUGCCGUGGGCGCUGGAGAACUGAGGGGGGCUGCUCCUAGUACGAGAGGACCGGAGUGGACGCAUCACUGGUGUUCGGGUUGUCAUGCCAAUGGCACUGCCCGGUAGCUAAAUGCGGAAGAGAUAAGUGCUGAAAGCAUCUAAGCACGAAACUUG